rnacentral:lncRNA from 1 species
CUCUCUUUCUCUCAAUAUCAUCCUCUUGCUAGUUGGUGUUUGUAAGCCAUUAGAGGAGUGACAAUUAUGACUCUAAGCUCCAAGAACAAGAAGUUUCAAGCAAGCAACUUAAGGUAUUCUUCUAGAUCUGAUUUCAUAUGAUAUGAUUCAAUUGUUUACACUAGAUCUAGAAUUGUAAGCCUUGGAUACAUUGCAUGUUCAAUUAGAGAAACCUAGAUCCAAGCAUUAGGGUUUGCAUGUGCACAUAGGAAAGUUCUUAUGGCUCAAACCCAUCAGUGGUAUCAGAGCUUUGAUUUAUUUCUAUUGAAUUGUUACUUUGGUUGAUUGCUUAUGCUUAAAAAAUUUAAAUAAUCUAAUUAGUUGAUUUAUAUUAUUUGCUAUUUGAUCCUUAUGUUUUGAAAAGUUUAAAACUUGUCCUCAAGUUUUGAAAUUUAAGUUUUGUGAUUAAAAGGUUAAUUUGAAUAAUUUAAAUUUCAAACCCUAGAAUUUUACAAGUUUAAAAUUCAACCCUGUACUAUUAUAUUAUUACAAGCUUAAUAUAUAUAUAUAUAUAUAUAUAUAUAUAUAUAUAUAUAUGUAUAUGUAUCUAUAACUAAAAUGCUAGUCUUACCGUUAGUAGGCCUCAUUCACGAAGCCGAUCUAUAAGGGGGGUAUAAGGUUGUGGCCUAUCAAAUGGCCAUUUAAUGGGUGUCCACUCUCACCCACCGCUUCCUUGAUUGGUGGAGGGUCGUUAGCCGAACNNNNNNNNNNNNNNNNNNNNNNNNNNNNNNNNNNNNNNNNNNNNNNNNNNNNNNNNNNNNNNNNNNNNNNNNNNNNNNNNNNNNNNNNNNNNNNNNNNNNNNNNNNNNNNNNNNNNNNNNNNNNNNNNNNNNNNNNNNNNNNNNNNNNNNNNNNNNNNNNNNNNNNNNNNNNNNNNNNNNNNNNNNNNNNNNNNNNNNNNNNNNNNNNNNNNNNNNNNNNNNNNNNNNNNNNNNGUAGAUUUGCAUGGUUAUUCACACCCGCUUUGUGAUCCUCGGCAUCCCAGUCACAAACUAGAGGGGCAUAUCGAGAUUUAAACAUGCCAUUGAAAAGUUCAAUGAAUCUCAAAGAAAUCUAGGAAUUCUCAAUACAUUUAAAACUUAAGCUUAUGUUUUUCAUGGUGAAGAAUUAGUGAAUCAUCAUUCACUUACCUCGAAAUUAUUUGCAUGUUGGAUUACGGCAUCCCUUUUCUAAUGUGUAAAUAAUGUUGUUGGGUCCUAGCCCUAAUUUUUCAUUUUGGGUGUUAAUUAGGGACUUAAAUCUAAUCAAACUUUGUUCCUUUCUAUUUGUAGAUGUCUAACGCGAACAACGCUGCUACUAGCUCAUUGACGCUAAUGAGCCUUUGUCAAAAAGUGACUUUUGACGGAUCGAACUUUAGCGAAUGGAUAAGAUACAUUCGCAUGAUUGCACGCUACGAGGACAAAGAGUAUGUCCUCGAUGAGAAGCUCGAAAAGAUCAAUCAAGAAAUCGCUACUCCCGAAGAAAUGGUUGUCUUUGAGACCCAUGAGCGUGAUGCAACGAAAGUCCAUUGCAUCAUGCUAGCCACGAUGAACCCCGAAUUCCAAAAGUCCUAUGAGGAAAUGUAUCCAUACGAGAUGCAUCAAGAAUUAAUGGAGAGAUACCACCAAAGCGUGAGGCAAGAGCGCUAUGAAAUCAUAACAAAUAUGAUAACUGCUAAAAUGGAAAGUGGAGAGUCUCUAACCGUGCACUUGCAAAAGAUGCAAAGAUAUGUUGAUCGUCUUCGCAAGUUGAAUGUCAACUUUGGGGAAGAUUUGGCUAUCGACAUUGUUCUUCACUCCUUGCCCUCGCGCUACAACCAAUUUAGGAUGACCUACCACAUGAACAAGGAAGAGGUCACCCUAAGCAAACUCCAAGGGCUUUUAAGGACUGCUAAAAGCAACCUCAAGGACAAGUCUGUUGCAUUAACUCCCAAUCCACCUGCUGCUCCUAUUUUUGCUAUUAGGCAGGGAAGGGGCAAGAAGAGGAAGGCUUCUUCAAAGAGCCACCACAAGGGAAAGUCCCAAGAUGGUUCCUCUUCUAGUGGGACCAAGGUUGGUCCUGCUAAGCCCAACCCAAACUUAAAGGAGGCAGAGUGCCACUAUUGCCACAAAAUAGGGCAUUAGAAGAGAAGCUGCCCGGAAUAUCUACAAGCCAUCAAGGAUGGGAAGAUCAAGCCAUCUUUCGCAGGUAUUUACACAAUUAAAUAUAAUGAUUCAUCUCAUGCUAUUUCUUGGGUUCUUGAUACCGGAUGUGGUUAUCACAUUUGUUCUGAUUUGCAGGGACUAGGAAGAAAUAGGGAUGUGGAGCGUGGAAGAAUAAAUCUAAUCAUGGGGAACAGAAGAUCGUCCCCUGUGACCAAGAUUGGAGUGUAUUCUCUAGUUCUUAGAAAUGGAUUGAAUUUAGAUUUAAAUAAUUGUUGCUACUCGCCAGAUAUGGCAAGAAACAUCAUUUCUUUUCAUGGUUUAUUUAGACAAGGAUUUAGAUAUUCAUUUAAUAAUGAGAAUGGUUCGAUUUAUGCUUAUCUAAAUGGUGUUUUAUAUUUUGACGCAAUGCCUUGUAAUGGAAUUUAUGAAACGGUUAUGGUUGUAGAUAACCUAGGAAAUGAUGUGUUGUGUAUGGAUUCUUCUAAUAAUAUAGAUAAGCAUGCUUGUGGCAUUGUCGUCUUGGACAUGUCAACAAGAAGCACAUAGCCCAACUCCAAAAGGAUGGAGUGUUGGAGUCAUUCGACCUUAGGGAAGAUGACACGUGCGAAUCUUGUUUACAUGGAAAGAUGACCAAGUCACCCUUCACUGGCACUUGUGAGAGGGGUGAGGGUUUAUUGGAUCUCAUACACACCGACGUGUGUGGGCCCUUUAGAUCCACCACAAAGGAUGGGAACCGCUUCUACGUGACUUUCACCGAUGAUUAUAGUAGAUAUGGGUAUAUUUACUUAAUCAAGCACAAGUCAGAAACGUUUGAAAAGUUCAAAGAGUUCAAACAUGAAGUGGAGAAUCAAUUGGGUAGGAAAAUCAAGAUGCCUCGANGGUUUAUUGGAUCUCAUACACACCGACGUGUGUGGGCCCUUUAGAUCCACCACAAAGGAUGGGAACCGCUUCUACGUGACUUUCACCGAUGAUUAUAGUAGAUAUGGGUAUAUUUACUUAAUCAAGCACAAGUCAGAAACGUUUGAAAAGUUCAAAGAGUUCAAACAUGAAGUGGAGAAUCAAUUGGGUAGGAAAAUCAAGAUGCCUCGAUCCGAUCGAGGAGGAGAGUACCUAAGUCUUCAAUUCCAUGACUAUCUCAAGGAAUGCAGAAUAGUUUCGCAAUUGACGCCACCUAGGACACCACAGUUGAAUGGUGUGGCAGAAAGGCGUAAUUGAACCCUAUUAGACAUGGUUCGUUCUAUAAUGAGUCGUGCUUCACUACGUAUCUCAUUCUGGGGGUAUGCCUUAGAGACUGCCGCCCAUAUCCUUAAUCGAGUCCCUAUAAAGAAGGUUACCAAAACACCUCAAGAAAUAUGGACAGGGAAAGCUCCCUCGUUGGCACAUAUCAAGGUUUGGGGCUGUGAAGUUUUCGUAAGACGAUAAACUCACGACAAACUCGAACCUCNCGUAGUGAGCGAUGUAUUUUCAUCGGCUACCCACAGAAAUCCUUUGGAUAUCUCUUCUAUAGACCGAGUGACAAUGUUGUCUUCGUUGCGAGGAGAGGAGAUUUCCUAGAACGAGAACUCAUAAGCCUAGGGGACAAUGGGAGGCAAAUCUAUCUUGAAGAGAUUCAAGAGUCGAGCGAUGAAGGAACCUCUAACGCUGGCGCUCAACCCGAGGAGGAAACUCCGGUUGAACAAAUUGACGAGUCCUUACCUCUUAGACGUUCCGAAAGAGUUAGAGUUCAACCCCAAUUUUAUGGCUUUCAUAUUACUACCAAAGGGAACACGUAUAUUAGUGAUGGUACACCAAUAAAUCUAGAUGAACCUAAUAGCUAUAAGGAAGCCAUGGCAGGCCCAGAGUCUGCGAAAUGGAAAGAGGCGAUGGACAGCGAGAUUCAAUCCAUGUAUGACAACCAAGUUUGGAAUUUGGUUGACAAUGUGCCCGGACGUAAGAUAGCUGGGUGCAAAUGGAUCUUCAAGAAGAAGACCGACAUGGAUGGGAAUGUGCGCACAUAUAAGGCAUGAUUGGUUGUGAAGGGAUUUACUCAAACUCCUGGAGUUGACUAUGAUGAGACCUUCUCGCCAGUUGCUAAAAUAAAGUCUAUUAGGGUGAUGCUAGCCAUUGCUGCAUUCCAUGAUUAUGAGAUAUGGCAGAUGGAUGUCAAGACCGCUUUCCUUAAUGGGAAGUUGGCUGAGGAUGUUUACAUGGCUCAGCCAGAGCGUUUUGUCGAUACGAAGCAUCCCAAUAGAGUGUGCAAGCUUGAGAAGUCCAUUUAUGGACUUAUGCAAGCGUCUCGCAGAUGGAAUCUUUGCUUCGAUGAGAAAGUCAAAGAGUUUGGAUUUGUACAAAGUGAAGAUGUAUCAUAUGUAUACGUCAAGGCCAGUGGGAGCAUAGUUAGCUUCCUCCUUUUGUAUGUCGAUGCCAUACUGCUUAUAGGAAACGACAUCCCAACUCUGUAGGAGGUUAAGUCCUGGCUCGGGAAGUGCUUCGCUAUGAAGGACCUCAGAGAGGCUUCCUAUAUUUUAGGAAUAAGGAUAGUGAGAGAACGAAGUAAGAGACUAAUAGGACUUAGUCAAAAUACUUACUUGGAUAAGGUACUAAAACGUUUUAGUACGGAAAACUCAAAGAAGGGAGAACUACCGAUACAGAGUAAUGCCAAAUUGAGUAAGACUCAAAGUCCGAGUACAGAAGCCGAGAUAGCUGAGAUGAGCCGAGUACCUUACGCUUCCGCAGUUGGCUCAAUCAUGUAUGCUAUGACUUGUACUCGCCCUGAUGUGGCCUUUGCUUUGAGCAUGGUCAGUUGAUAUCAAGGGAACCCUGGCAGAGCUCAUUGGGUUGCAGUCAAGAAUAUCCUUAAGUACCUUCGGAGGACCAAGGAAUGGUUUUUAGUCCUCGGAGGGAGUGAUGACUUAAAGGUGCGAGGGUAUAGUGAUGCCAACUUCCAGACCGACAGGGACUACUACCGUUCGCAGUCGGGCUGGGUCUUUACCCUUAAUGGAGGAGCAGUGACUUGGAAAAGUUCCAAGCAAGAAACCGUAGCUGAUUCAACGUGCGAAUCAGAGUACAUUGCAGUGAGUGAAGCUUCAAAGGAGGCGAUGUGGUUGAAAAACUUCAUUGGUGACCUUGGAGUUGUGCCUUCCAUAAAGGAGCCUAUGGAAUUUUUCUUUGAUAAUGAAGGAGCGGUUGCCUUGACCAAAGAACCGAGAGAUCAUGGUAGAUCUCGGCAUAUCGACAGAAAAUAUCACUUUAUUAGAUAUCGAGUAGAAGAAGGACACCUUGUAGUAAAGAGGGUAUCAUCAGAGGAUAACCUAGCAGAUCCGCUUACAAAGGGAUUGAGUUGGGUUAAGCACUUACAGUACGCUAGGAGCAUUAGGCUGAAAGACGAUAUUAGUUUAGAUUAUAUAGUUUAGAAACAUGUAAUGGAUAAAUGUAAUUGACAUUUGAUUAUUAACUAAAGGAGUAUUAUUUAUAAGUAAAUCUACUGUCUUAUGUUAAUUGUUUAAACUAUUGUUUCACUUUGCAUGUUUUGACUUCCUGAAUAAUUGAGUUAUUAAGAAUAAUCGAAUUAUUCGAAUGGUCCACGAUCGUUUAUAUGUUGGAAGUAGGCAUCAAUGAAGAUUGUCAUGAAUUGGUGUGUAGAUUGUCUAAAAGGUAUUAGACAUAGCAAAGGUUUGCUGCAACGUUCAUGAGUGCUUAUGAACAUGUUUUGAGCAUUGGAAUAAACCCGCGCUUGCUGGAAUCACUUUAUGGAAUGUACCACAAGUGAUCGCAAGACGAUAAUAUCAUAUGGUCUUAAAACCAAGAUAUAUGGUUUAUUGUUUAUUAAUUGGUUGUGCAUUGACAAUGCGAAACCGCAUCAGUAAAUUGAUGUCAUAAAACGCAUUGUUGUGUAUAGUUGAUUAGUAAAUAGUAAAUGCAUAUAAGUCGAAGUUUAUCUGUUACUUUUAUUCUAAGAGGGUAAAAGCGAUAUCAGGGCCCCUCGAUGAUUUGAUUUGACUUAUGUGUCGGGCCCGGUCAGGACUGAAUUGAUGUGUUCAAUUAAGUUCUAUGUCAAAUGAAUCUGAGAUCGAGAAACCAACUGUUGGACAAUAAGUUCCAUGAGAUUGUCCACACAAUAUCUAAACAGAGGACUGUACGAUCCCUUAUCUAAAGGACAGGAUACUGAUAAGAUCAGAGUUUGACAGCGUCUUUGAGAGCUACGAUUGCUAAUCGGAUUGUGUUUUCAUAUAUAGUUACUAGACUUAUCCAAGUGGGAGACUGUUGGAUUAGUGUCUAAGGCUGUAACUAUAUUUGGUAAGUACUUGACCCGGUUGUGCAUGGUCCUUUUGGGUUGCCUUCACCAUAGCAACUUGAUAGGGUGAUUUGUAAAGAGAGAAGAGAUAUUAUUAUUAAUAUAUUAUGAGAGUAAUAUAUUAAAGGAAUAAUAAUAUUAUUUGAUUUAUAUAAGCCAUAAAUGAAUUGAGAAUUAAUUUGGUGACUUAAAGAGGUUAAUUGAAUAAAGGGGCAUAAACUGUCAAAUGUAUGAUAGUUGUGUUUUGGGCUAUGUAUCCUUAUGGAUAUUAGGGUGGAUGGAUUUUAGGGUUUGGAUAUCUUAAAAUAGUCCAAGCCUCAUAUCUAGAAGGAUCUUUGGAUUGCUUAGGCCUAAGUUAUUCAAUUAGGGUUAAAAGUGUAACCCUAGUAGCUCAUAGUAUAAAUAGACCCCAUGGGUGAGGCAAAUUGGCCACUCUUGCAAGGAAGAAACCCUAGAUCCGAUUUCCUCACCUCCUCUCUCUCUCAAGAUCAUCCUCUUUCUAGUUGGUGUUUGUAAGCCAUUAGAGGAGUGACAAUUGUGACUCUAAGCUCCAAGAACAAGAAGUUUCAAGCAAGCAACUUAAGGUAUUCUUCUAGAUCUGGUUUCAUAUGAUAUGAUUCAAUUGUAUACACUAGAUCUAGAAUUGUAAGCCUUGGAUACAUUGCAUGUUCAAUUAGAGAAACCUAGAUCCAAGCAUUAGGGUUUGCAUGUGCACAUAGGAAAGUUCUUAUGGCUCAAAACCAUCAUAGAGGACGAGCUGGAAAUAGAGGAGGAGAUGUGAGAGUUAUAAUAAAUGAGGAUGAUGAUUUUGUGGAUUGUUAUAUAGGUGAGUUGUCUACAAUUUAAAAUAAAACAUGUUUUUUAUGACUUUUUUAAAUCUUUAGUUUUCUAUGUAGAAAAUGAAAAUGAAAUGGUUAUUUAUGAUGAUGAAGGAGCUCCUAAAAGACACAAACUAGUUUCCCUGAGACGCAAUAUGUUGCAGAUGGUGAUCUUCAAGAGGUUCCAAUGAAAGAUGAGGAAGAUUCUGAAGAUUUUUUAAACAUUAUACCAAAGGAGUGUCGGAACUAUGAAAACACGAAAGACUGAGUAGGUGGAAUUAAUAACCUUUUUUGUAUAGUGGGCAAUGUUUAAAAAACUUUUUGCAUUUAAAAACUCUAUGCAGUAUUUAUGAAAUUUAUUCACUUAAUAGUCGCCCUUUUGAAAACUCAAUGCAGUAUUU